UUUUAUUCUUGCUUGUUUAUUCACUUUUUCUUUGUGUUAUAUGCAAGUUUUGUAAUACUAAAUGUUCUUUUUGCAGUAAUUUGAUUUAAUUAUCAAGUGAUUUUGGAAUUAGCAAUUGAUUUAGUAUCGGCAUAUUUCGUGCCAGCAGCCGCGGUUAUACGAUUGAUACAAGUGAAUAUUGUUGGUUUAAACAGUUAUUUAUAAUUUUUGAGUUAAAUUGUUGAUUUAUAGGGUGAAAUUUUAAAAUUCUUUUACGACUCUUUUUAUGAAUCUGUGAAACUUAAAUAAUAAACUAGGAUUAGAUACCCUAUUAUUUUAAGUGUUAAUUUUACUUACCAGGGUACUGUUAGCUAAGGUCUUUAAACCCAAAGAAUUUGGCGGUAUCUCAUUCCAUUCAGAGGAACCUACCCCGUGAUUGAUAGUACACGAUUGACUUUACUUAAUUUAUUUGUUUGUAUAUCUCCGUUAUCAGAGAAUCUUUUUAGAGUUAUAAUUUUCUUGAUUUAUAAUUAUAAAAUAUUUCAGGUCAAGGUGCAGCUUAUAAUUAAGAGGAGGUGGGUUACAAUAGAUUUUUGUUUAUUACGGAUUUGAUGGUGAAAAACUGUUGAUGAAGGUGGAUUUGAUAGUAAUUUAAUUUAGUUAAUUUAAUUGAUAUUGGCUCUGAGGUGUGUACACAUCGCCCGUCGCUCUCAUUAUUGAUCAUUAUACUUAAAAUUUUUUGGUAGGGUAUGUUCAAAUUAGAUGAGAUAAGUCGUAACAUAGUAGAUGUACUGGAAAGUGUAUCUAGUAAGAGUCU
rnacentral:ncRNA from 1 species